rnacentral:rRNA from 1 species
GGAAGGUCCGGGCGUUAUCCGGAUUUAUUGGGUUUAAAGGGAGCGUAGGCCGGAGAUUAAGCGUGUUGUGAAAUGUAGUGGCUCAACCUCUGCACUGCAGCGCGAACUAGUUUCCUUGAGUACGCACAAAGUGGGCGGAAUUCGUGGUGUAGCGGUGAAAUGCUUAGAUAUCACGAAGAACUCCGAUUGCGAAGGCAGCUCACUGGAGCGCAACUGACGCUUAUNCUCGAAAGUGCGGGUAUCGAACAGGAUUAGAUACCCUGGUAGUCCGCACGGUAAACGAUGGAUGCCCGCUGUUGGUCUGAAUAGGUCAGCGGCCAAGCGAAAGCAUUAAGCAUCCCACCUGGGGAGU